GGGGAAUAUUGCGCAAUGGGGGGAACCCUGACGCAGCAACGCCGCGUGAGUGAAGAAGGUCUUCGGAUCGUAAAACUCUGUCAUAGGGGAAGAAGUCGUGACGGUACCCUAUGAGGAAGCCCCGGCUAACUACGUGCCAGCAGCCGCGGUAAUACGUAGGGGGCGAGCGUUGUCCGGAAUUACUGGGCGUAAAGGGUGCGUAGGCGGCCGAUUAAGUCAGAUGUGAAAUACCACGGCUCAACCGUGGGGGUGCAUAUGAAACUGGUUGGCUUGAGUGCAGGAGAGGAAAGUGGAAUUCCUAGUGUAGCGGUGAAAUGCGUAGAGAUUAGGAGGAACACCAGUGGCGAAGGCGACUUUCUGGACUGUAACUGACGCUGAGGCACGAAAGCGUGGGGAGCAAAC
rnacentral:rRNA from 1 species